CGGACGGGUGAGUAAUGCUUGGGAAUCUGGCUUAUGGAGGGGGAUAACUACGGGAAACUGUAGCUAAUACCGCGUAAUAUCUUCGGAUUAAAGGGUGGGACUUUCGGGCCACCUGCCAUAAGAUGAGCCCAAGUGGGAUUAGGUAGUUGGUGGGGUAAAGGCCUACCAAGCCGACGAUCUCUAGCUGGUCUGAGAGGAUGACCAGCCACACUGGAACUGAGACACGGUCCAGACUCCUACGGGAGGCAGCAGUGGGGAAUAUUGCACAAUGGGGGGAACCCUGAUGCAGCCAUGCCGCGUGAAUGAAGAAGGCCUUCGGGUUGUAAAGUUCUUUCGGUGAUGAGGAAGGUGUUUGUUUUAAUAGAACAAGCAAUUGACGUUAGUCACAGAAGAAGCACCGGCUAACUCCGUGCCAGCAGCCGCGGUAAUACGGAGGGUGCGAGCGUUAAUCGGAAUGACUGGGCGUAAAGGGCACGCAGGCGGUGACUUAAGUGAGAUGUGAAAGCCCCGGGCUUAACCUGGGAAUUGCAUUUCAUACUGGGUCGCUAGAGUAUUUUAGGGAGGGGUAGAAUUCCACGUGUAGCGGUGAAAUGCGUAGAGAUGUGGAGGAAUACCGAANGCGAAGGCAGCCCCUUGGGAAUAUACUGACGCUCAUGUGCGAAAGCGUGGGGAGCAAACAGGAUUAGAUACCCUGGUAGUCCACGCUGUAAACGCUGUCGAUUUGGGGAUUGG
rnacentral:rRNA from 1 species